UCCUGGUUAACCCAGGCAGUCUCGUCAGAGUGCCCAACUUAAUGCUGGCAACAGACGAUAGGGGUUGCGCUCGUUGCGAGACUUAACCCAACAUUUCACAACACGAGCUGACGACAGCCAUGCAGCACCUCUCACUACAUUUCCUUGCGGACACUCCAGGCAUUACCCCGGAUUCGUAGGAGUUCAAGCCUAGGUAAGGUUCUGCGCGUUGCUUCGAAUUAAACCACAUAAUCCACCGCUCGUGCGGGCCCCCGUCAAUUUGUUUGAGUUUUAGUCUUGCGACCGUACUCCCCAGGCUGAAUACUUAAUGCGUUAGCUUCGACACUGAGAGCCAAGUUGCUCCCAACGUCCAGUUCGCAUCGUUUAGGGCGUGGACUAC
rnacentral:misc_RNA from 1 species